rnacentral:rRNA from 1 species
UUCGCUUAUUCCGUUGUCCUCGGGACGUUAAGCUGCUCUGGUCGAGGAUAAACGACCCCUCUGACUGAGGUCAAACCCGUCGCUCUGUGUUACCUCUGUCUGAGGCACACGUUAAAGAUCGUUCCGCGUUGUGAGUCUAACACCAGUUGUAUAAACUUUUUACAACCGGUAGCGAUGGAUCCCUUGGCACGUCAUUCGAUGAAGACCGUUGCAAAUUGCGAUAAAGUGAUGUGAUGCGCAAGUCCACCACUUAUACGUGAAUCAUCGAGUUGUUGAACGCAUUGCACCGCGCCCUAAUCCGGCUGCGGUAUGCCCCUUUGAGCGUCAUUGUAUUCCUUCGGGAGUCCUUUUUACAAAGGACCCGAGUUCGGAGUCCUCGGUCCUCUGGAUCGUGUUCUCUUAGAUGCGUCGCACCGAUCGCCUGAUGGGUCUCUAAUGCCUAAGCGUGGAGUUCCUUCAGAGUCCGAGAUGUGCUUGACCGGGUGUUGAGCUCGUGUCACCAAGUCUGCCUCACAAGCAGUACUACAACGCAUGACCUCAUUGGGGUAGGACAACCCGCUAGACUUAAGCAUAUUAAUCAGCGGAGGAAAAGAAACUAACCAGGAUUCCCUUAGUAACUGCGAGUGAAGCGGGAUCGGC